ensembl:lncRNA
AGAGAUGAUACUAAAUACCAUGAAGGGGCUAAGGCUGCCCUGCUCUCCCAGAGCCAUCCAUAUUCAUGCAGUUUGCUGCUAUCUGAGGGUGUAAAAGAUCUGUUGCUGUAUGCCAGAUCUAGGUGCAGGUCCCUCACUCGCUUGGGUCUCUGAGGUGGUGGUGCAUCUGAAGCAAUCCCUGUACCUCUUUUUGAAGUAGGACUAUAACAAGCUUAAAUAACAAGAGAACUUUAUUUGGAACUACGAAAGGUAAUGGUAUUGGAGAUGAUAAACGCAUUACAGAGCUCUGAAUUAAUCCAUCCAAAAGCAGUUAAUAAAGAAAGUACUGUGGGAUACAAAUGCAACCCAUAGUUACUGCAAACAGCUCUUAGCCUCUGUCUCUUGGGAAAAAUACACAGAUUUAUGUGGCUCCUGCAAAUGGCCAGGUGUAGAAGUGUGCAGUUCUAUGCUCAGUCUUUGUGGCUCUACUCCUUGACCAUAUUUAUCUAGCUCCAUACUGCUGCCCCAGCUGUACUCUCUAACGUGAGAAUGAUAAAACAGAUAAUAGCUUUUCCCACUGUCUGCAAGCUGCAUUAGUGGGGGAAAUACUGACACAUUUUCAAAAGAUUUUUAGCGAAAAGAUCUUUCAAUGUAUUCUUUCUUUGCUAUUAAAGAAGUGUUCUAAUACCAACAUGUUAUCCAAAAGCAGCAUCACCAUUGAUGGUGAUUGUUUUUGUGCAUCAGAGACCUGCAGCUGUUGUUCUUUCUCACUACACAGUUGAAUGUGACACUGCUAUGAAAACAAUAGUAAUCUAAGGCCUUGGGGGAAACACUGAUUAAAAAAUCACAGUAUGAUGGGUGUUUCUCCAUUUCUGUUGUUGCCCAUGACUGGAUGAAUGUCUUAUUUUGUGUAUUCCAAUGCAAACUAAAAUAGCUUAGCUAACUAAUCAAAGGUCCAGGUAAUAGUGUAGAAAUUUCAGCUGGGUAGAGCGUAUCAUAAAAUCAUAUCAUAGAACCAUAGAAUGGCCUGGGUUGAAAAGGACACCAAAGAUCAUCUAGUUUCAACUCUCCUGCCAUGGGCAGGGUCGCCAGCCACUAGACCAGGCUGACCAGAGCCACUUCCAGCCUGGGAUAUCAUUAGCCAAGUAGAAGAAGUGUUAAGGUGCUUUGCCACAUUUCAUCACCUCCCUUCUGACAAAGAUGAAAACUCAGGUAGAUCAUCCCUAAUUAACCACUAAGGCUUUGCAUUGCUUGUAUGGGUUGCUCUAGAGCACUGAAAUCAGUGAAGCGAGUGCUAUUGAUCUGAGUGGAUGCUGUAUUUUCACUACUUCUGUUCCUAGAAUUGAGGAAGUAAUUUUUUUUCCUCAGUAAACACUUUGCAACUACUUGUUUAAUAGAGCUUACAGGAGAUGUCUGAGAUUUUAAGUAGGAAGAAGUGUAGAGGCACUGCAUAUUAUUAUUGUCAUCCUACAUUCUGUGCUUAGAGGUAUGGUCAUUAGUUACAUAUGUGGCUUUAGUCUCCUUACUGAGGGAAUCACGCAGUUUUCUGUAUUUGUGUGUUUUUUUUCCUCAGCUCCUCUGGGAAGUUUCUAGUGAAGUCUGCACUUGAACUGAGCUCUUCAGUGGGUGCACCCUUUUUAUCGGGUUGGAUGCACAAUAACAGUCAGUGAAUGUCAUCCAUCACUACAGUUGAAGAAAUAAGUAUAUGAAUUUUGGUGACAAAGGAAAUACAACGAGGAUAAAUGGAGCAACUGAAUGUCUAUUCAAUACUAAAAGCCAGUGGGCAAAUGAAUCAGUUGUAUUACCAAUUUGACUGUUUCAGCUUCUACAGGCAUAUUGUAAAUUGUAGCAAGUACACAGAAUGUUAUCUUCAUCUUUCUUGUAUUAAAAGUACUGACAACUGCUUUGUAUGCCUUGAAAAGGACAUUACUAUCAAUUCUCAUUACAAGACAUUCAAGGAUGCAUUCUUGUGUUUAAACAAAAUGGAGAAAGAAAUCCAGUGGAAUGUGAAAUCAGUAACACGUUAGCAGGCAGAAAAUGUUAGCAGAAAAAUUUUAUCGAACAGAUUGGUGCACCUACUUCUAUAAGGGAAAGGACCUGAAUAUGAAUUAUAAUACGCUUGUAGUGUAUUCAUAUUUUUUUUUCCAUGCUCAGUUCAUCAUCUAAACCUAGGGCAAUUAUACAGCUAAUAUGCUGUUUUAAAUGCCAUAAAUGUACAGCUAAAUGAUUGCAUUUAUGCACGGGCCUUUGGCUGAACUUCUUACUUUUAACGAAGGUAGAGAUAAACUGCAAAGCAAACAAGCAGCCACGCAGCCAAUAAAAUGAACAUCCCCUAUCAGCAUGUAUGUUUGUAAGUGUUAAAUUAAAAUAAAUCCUUUGGAUACAGACCCAAAACAACUCUUGUGCUGUGUGUGAACACAGAAGUGGUUCUUGCUUGAACCACCUCACUUUGAAGUUACAGACAUACAACAUCAGAAACAACCCUUCCUCUGGCUGUGUAGCUGUCAAUGAGCAUUGCUUCUGGAUGCAGGGAUAUGGAAAUAAAAAAAAAAUGCCUGUACAAAGCUGGCAUUCUUCAACUUUGAACUUAACUAACUAUGCAGGUCUUGUCUGUGGAAAAGCGUUGUCUGUGCAAUCUCUAAACAGAGUAAUAAAUUGCCAGAUUUUGUGGGGUGAAUUCAAACCAGCAACGAACCUGAAAACAUUGGAAAAGCUUUAUCUAUUCUCACCUGACUGAGAUUUAAAUUCACAUGCUAUGUUUAUACAAUGGAAAUAUGGUUCUAUUUUAAAUGAGAACAAAAUAAUACUGAAAAAAACAAGGUAGAGAUGCUAUAGUAGCAAAAGAUAUGCAGCACAGCCAAAAAAAAAAAAAAAAAAAAAAAAACACUUAUUUAUUUUACUACAGAAAAAAAAAAUAGGCCAAAUCCAAUUGCAUGGAAGUGAGAGAAAAGAUUCCCAUUAACCUCUGUACAGCUGGAUGAAACCUUCAAUUAGUGUCACUAAUUUUCUUGGUGGAUCAUGUUGUAGAUCUCUUCCUGUAUGUCGUUAAGCUUUUUCAGCUGUGUACUGUUUUUUUAUGUAACAUUGAUGGUGCCCAGCAUUUUGUCUCAUUAUUUCUUUUUUUAUUUUUAUUUAAUUGUAUUGUAAGUAUAGGAGAUGUCACUGAUUCCAAGGAUAAAGGAAUGUAACAACAGUGGAUGAGCUUGGAUCUGUG